CAAGCGUAGCUGGUAUUGGACUUUCGCGGGCCCUCUUAUAGGGAGGGGCUCGCGGGUCCGAAAAGCAGUGGCGGUCCCCGAAGAUUUCGCGCGUAGUAAAUAUUAUCCCGCGUUGGAAAGAAUCGAUGGGUCCUGCCAAAACCCCCCCAUAAUCUCCAAAAAUUGACCUCGGAUCAGGUAGGGAUACCCGCUGAACUUAA
rnacentral:misc_RNA from 1 species